rnacentral:rRNA from 1 species
AGUGAACGCUGGCGGCGUGCUUAACACAUGCAAGUCGAACGAGAACGGGUUAUAGCUUGCUAUAAUUGUCAGCUAAGUGGCGCACGGGUGAGUAAUGUAUAGGUAAUAUGCCUCUUACUAAGGGAUAACAAAUGGAAACGUUUGCUAAUACCUUAUACUCCUUAUUAACAGAAGUUAAUAAGGGAAAGAUUUAUUGGUAAGAGAUUAGCCUGUAUUGUAUCAGUUAGUUGGUGGGGUAAUGGCUUACCAAGACUAUGACACAUAACUGGUUUGAGAGGAUGAUCAGUCACACUGGAACUGAGACACGGUCCAGACUCCUACGGGAGGCAGCUGUGGGGAAUAUUGCACAAUGGACGAAAGUCUGAUGCAGCAACGCCGCGUGGAGGAUGAUACAUUUCGGUGCGUAAACUCCUUUUAUAUGAGAAGAUAAUGACGGUAUUAUAUGAAUAAGCACCGGCUAACUCCGUGCCAGCCGCCGCAGUAA